GGCCUGGGUUCCUUAAGCCCCUGUGGAGUAGGACCCUGUUGGGCGAAGGUCACUCUCCGGACUGAACAAGCAAUUUCAAAAGGAACUCCCAUGCGGAAGUGAGAGAGGGCAGGGAAACUUGCCAGGUCAGCCAGGGCAGCACAACGUUCCGGGCAGGACCCAGGGACACAAGUCGCCCACCCAAAGGCCCUGAACUGAAUGUCUCUAGGGCCCGCAUCCUUUGGAGAACAAAGAAUGAAAGCUAACACAGGAGCCAGCAAGAGCCAGCAACCAGGGAUUGCAGGGGUGACUCGUCUGAUCAGUUUCCAACUGAUGGACAAUUGUCCAUCACGCUUCCUGGUCUGGGGACAGGAGAGGAACACAGCCUGCUUCGAUCAUCAAUAGAUGGCAGAGAAGAGGUCGCUGCAGACAUUGAGAAGAAAACCGUAGGAGUAACGUGCCACAGAGUGGCUGGAAGUGGAGAGGCGGGGUCAUUAAGGGAGAGGUAAAAGGCUUUUCCUGAUCAGCUGAGUCUCGACUGCCUUCAGCCCAGAAUAUCCCACGUGCCGAAGUGGUUCUUGGGGACCCUUCUUGACGUGGCUGCUCUGCUGGGUACACGAUGACCCCAACUGCUUCUGCCACAUCGGCCCUGGAGCGGGGGCAUUGCCCUCCCCUAAGUCUCUGAGGCCACCUUCCGGCCUUCAGCAAAGCUCUUCUGAAGGUCUGAGGAGGAGGGAAGGCUUCUGCCAAGCCCACAAUCCCUGCCUCCUCCCUGAGUCUCUGGGCAGGACAGGAAGUGCUUGCUCUUCCCCCAGCCCACCCCCCAGGGGGCUCCAGGCAGGUCCGAGGCUCAGAGGCCUGGCCCAGGCUGCCACGAGGGCUCCCAGAGAAAGAAGAUUCUCCCUGUGCCCAGCAGGGCCCUCCUCCUGCCCCAGCCCGCCCUCUCCCCAGGAUGUCUGAUGGUGCCUCUCCAUUCCCCUCAGGGUCCCAAGCCAGGAGGUGACAAUGGCCACCAUUGUGGACACCAGGUUGCCCUGUUCUUCCUGAUAGUUCCUUGUGCAGAGGAAGGAGACCCUCUCCCCAUGCCUUCCCUGACGCCCUCCGCUCCUCCACUCUGCCCCGCAGCAGACAGCCCUUCCCACCAGAGCUCACAGUCUCCAAGGAGCAGCCCAGCGUGCAGCCCAGCGCAUUCCCAGUUCACAGAGAGCCAGAGGGCGGCUCCCUCUCACGUGCCCAGGUGGGUAGAGGAAAGGGCAGAAGACUCCUCCAUGGAGGUUACACGUCUGCCACGGGCUUGCCACAUUCCAGCUCAGACUGUGGACAUUUGCAAAAACUCUCAAGGAUGGCGACCAUGCUGUGUGUGGUUUUGUUCCCCUUCCUCUGUGCACAAACACACACACACACACACGUUUGUUUCUGGUGAGUCUCUGCUUUUGAUGCAAAGAUUUUCUUAUCUAAGGAAGCACCUUCCUAUCAGAGGAAGCUAGCUCAGGAUGAACGCCGUGAGGGUGGUGUGGCAUGAUCACUCCCGGCUUCCGUUCAUUGGGUCAACACUCUUUUGUGGAGCCCUGUCAUGUGCCAGGCAUGGCCACAAGUGCUGGGAUCCCAGGCCUGCAACAGGUAUUAAUAGUAAGGGAGACAAGCAAAUACAACACCGUGAAGGAGGUCUGCAGAGGGUGUUAGGGGCACACGGCAGAGAGGAGGGCACCCACCACCCAGCUUGGGGAGGGGCUUGACGUGGGGCAGGCAAAGCGUGAGCUGAGCCUCGAGGCCCUAGGAGUUGGCCAAACCACAAAAAGGAGAAGGAGGUUCCAGGCCAAAAGAACAGCUGGUGCAAAAUCACAGAAAGAUGAUCACAUUCAAGGGACUGCAAGUUGCGUGGAAGGGCCGUGUGUGGGUUAGAGAAGAGAGCAGAGGACUCUGUGGUGGGACCAGCUUGCCAUGUUCAGGAGCCGGCAACCAUCCGCAAAGGGGCUGGGCAGCCAAGGAUGGGAUCUGAGCAAAGGUCUGAUCACCAGGUUUGCUUUAUGGGGAGGUCUCUGUGGCUGGUGUGUGGAGAAUGGAUGGAAGGUGUUGCCAUGGCAGCCAGUGAACCAAUUAGGACAUGACUGAAGUAACCUAGGUGAGAAAGGAGGAAGGCUUACACAACGAAGCAUGAGGAUGAAGAGAAAUCUACAGAUCCCAGGCAUUUAGGAAGGAGUCAAAAAAGACCCUUUCCCAGAACUGAUGGUGGGUCAUGAAUCAAUGGACGGGUGAGACCUUGGGUGGGAGUGACUGGGAUGCUUUUUGGUCGAGUGGCUUAUCCAGUGAGAGAAGAGUGGGGAAGGAGGAGCAGGGGCUUCCUCUUUUUACUCCAAAUGCUUUGGUAUUAUUUGAAACUUUGAAGAUGGGCAUGUAUACUAACAAAAAGCCUAAGAAGGAUAUUUUUUAAAUGACAACUAGUUCGAAUGUAAUUUUCUGCUGUGUGCAUCAUCUGUUAACUGUGAUAGAUCAUUUCUCGAACUAUCAUAUAAAACAUCCUUCCUUGUAAAAACCUGUUUUGAAAAGUGGACCCUGUGCGACAGCUUCAUUGGUUCUUUAUGAAAUAUUGGAAGAUUUUUUUUAACCCUCUGAUGUCAGGAAGAGAAAGAAACCCCAAGUCAGAGGUCAAUGAGUUCUGGACUAUAUCCAUCAUAUUAAAUUUUCGGCAGAAUUUUUAUAACACCUUUACACAAUCAGACGUUCUCAUUCAGUAAUUAGAGGAGAUCCUAGACUUUACCGAUGCAUCCAGCAAUUCCCGAGUGACCUUGCUGAGCACUUCCUCUCCCAGAAAAGAGAAAACUCAGUUCCAGCCAACAAGGAGGAAGUGAGAGAAGAAGUGAAAUUAACUAAGCCCUGGAAGGAAAUGGCCAAAUCACCUUCAGUUGUGUAACAAUCAGCGAAUAGAACACAGACACAAGGAGACACAGUUAAGGAGAGAAGUGUUUUAUCAUCAGUUUUAGGAGAAAAGCAUUUUUAAGCAACAUUUAAAAAACAAAGCCUAAUAAAGUGAUGGUAAGAAAAGUAAGUUUUAUGGAUGAAUAUAAAUAAUGUAUGCAAUAUAUAUCUUUAUUACUAAUCCAGAUAUUUCUGGCCCAUCAAUUUAGACAUGCUCAAUGGUAAUUUGCUAUCUGAUGUUUAACCUAGUUUUGUUUGUAUGUGUUAACUUUACACAUAUUUUUUGAUGUCGUCAUUAUGAAGAAAAGUUUGUCAAGAUAGAGGCUAGGACAUAUCGCAUUUAAAAGUUUGUUAGCUUAAACUCCCAAACCAGAAACUGACACAUUGUAACUAACUAUACUUCAAUUUAAAAAAUUAUUAAAAAUAAAAACAAAGCCUAAGAUUCCAGGGGCAGAAACCCUAAAGGGACUGUUUUGACAGCUAUAACAAAGUCUGAAGGGAAAAGGAAGGGACAGAGGAAAUCACGCAAACAGCUGCCAGGAGCAGGUGAGAAAAUGAAGAGGAGUAAGGAAGAAAGUCAGAAAAGGGAAGCGAGAACUCAGAACCCAGCUGGAAAGUCCCCGUGUCACCCUGGAAGAAGGAGAAAGAAGCAAACUCACAUAAUAUGUCACAGCCAGGUGGGAAGAGGACGGAGGACAAGGGAAUGGAGUUCACCCUAAUCCUAAGAGGACAAUAUGGAAACACUUAGGGGCAGAUACACGAUCUGCCUAAACAUCGUUCCGAAUACAACCGGAUCACUGAGAAAGGAGUUUACAGCUGGGCACUUUGGAAACACAAGAGGCGGGCAAUAAAUGUUUGUAACCAAAAAAAAAAAAAAAAAAGAUGAAAAAGCAUCUGGUGUGGGUUUGGCGAACCAAUAUUUGAGUCAUGGUUCCAACAUUUACGAGUUGUGUGGUCAUAGAUACAUUACCUCUAUUGGUCUCAGUUUCCACAUAGGUGAAAUGGGUCAAUACUAUCUACCUGAAAGUUUAUGUGACGACUAAAUAAGAUGAUGAGAAAAAAGUGCCUGGCAUUUAGUAGGUGCUCAAUAAAGGACAGCUUUUUUAUUUUUAA